AUUGAACGCUGGCGGCAUGCUUUACACAUGCAAGUCGAACGGCAGCGCGGGCUUCGGCCUGGCGGCGAGUGGCGAACGGGUGAGUAAUACAUCGGAACGUGCCCAGUAGUGGGGGAUAGCUCGGCGAAAGCCGGAUUAAUACCGCAUACGACCUGAGGGUGAAAGCGGGGGAUCUUCGGACCUCGCGCUAUUGGAUCGGCCGAUGGCAGAUUAGCUAGUUGGUGGGGUAAAGGCCUACCAAGGCGACGAUCCGUAGCUGGUCUGAGAGGACGACCAGCCACACUGGGACUGAGACACGGCCCAGACUCCUACGGGAGGCAGCAGUGGGGAAUUUUGGACAAAGGGCGAAAGCCUGAUCCAGCAAUGCCGCGUGUGUGAUGAAGGCCUUCGGGUUGUAAAGCACUUUUGGCGGGAACGAAAAGGACUGUGCCAAUACCACGGUUCGAUGACGGUACCCGCAGAAUAAGCACCGGCUAACUACGUG
rnacentral:rRNA from 1 species